UCUCUGGUAGUAUAGUGGUGAGUAUCUCCGCCUGUCACGCGGAAGACCGGGGUUCAAUUCCCCGCCAGAGAG
rnacentral:tRNA from 1 species